rnacentral:lncRNA from 1 species
CUAAUGUUUAACUGUUGUGAAAAAUCUUAAAUUGAUUAAGAUGUGGUUAUAAAAACUUACAUCUCAGGAAGUGUUCUCCUCCCAGAAAUGUUCUUGAUGAAAACCAGAGAAAGCUAUGCUUACUUAGUAGUUGCUUAAAUAAUUACUGUUGUAUGAAUGGACCAGAUGACCUCAUAGGACCUUCUUCACUCUGAAAUUCUUUGAGGAUAAAAAGCCUAGAACAGUCGGGAGUUAGAAAUCUGAGCCCCUCUUGGUGUAAUUGCAUCUGGAACACAAAACCACUUACCUGCAGGAAGUUAUGAACAUUGGCCACAGAUACAUUACUG